rnacentral:rRNA from 1 species
CGCCUGGUUUACCCUACCAGGUAGACUCUGCCCAAUGAAUUUUAAAUGGCCGCAGUAUCCUGACUGUGCUAAGGUAGCAUAAUAAUUUGUCUCUUAAUUGGAGGCUUGAAUGAAUGAGCUGACGAAGAGAUCCCUGUCUCAAGGGAGGCAAAGAAAAUUUAUAUUUAGGUAAAAAAUCCUGAAAGCUGUAGAGGGACGACAAGACCCUAAAAGCUUAACCCUUAACCCCUGAGAUUUUUUAGAUGAAUCAGGUUUAUCGGGUUUUCACUGGGGCGGUGUCUCUACUUAACUAGAGAAGUAAAAACACCUUGAGUGAAACUAAUUACCCUUACUUAGGUUUCAAGUAAAGUUACUUUAGGGAUAACAGCGCAAUUCUCUGAAAGAGCCCGUAUCGACCAGGGAGUUUGCGACCUCGAUGUUGAAUUGAAGACUUGGCUAAAGCAGCAUUUAGCAGAAAGAAGACUGUUCGUCUUUUAAACCUUC